rnacentral:rRNA from 1 species
UACGAAGGGGGCUAGCGUUGCUCGGAAUCACUGGGCGUAAAGCGCACGUAGGCGGAUUGCUAAGUCAGGGGUGAAAUCCUGGAGCUCAACUCCAGAACUGCCUUUGAUACUGGCGAUCUUGAGUCCGGGAGAGGUGAGUGGAACUCCGAGUGUAGAGGUGAAAUUCGUAGAUAUUCGGAAGAACACCAGUGGCGAAGGCGGCUCACUGGCCCCGGUACUGACGCUGAUGUGCGAAAAGCGUGGGGAGCAAACAGG